rnacentral:tRNA from 1 species
AUUGGUGUGGCAGAGCCCGGUGUAUGUGAAAGAUCUAAACUUUUUCGACAGAGGUUCAAAUCCUCUCCCCAAUU